rnacentral:rRNA from 1 species
GAUGAACGCUAGCGGCAGGCCUAACACAUGCAAGUCGAGGGGUAGAAUUAGCUUGCUAAUUUGAGACCGGCGCACGGGUGCGUAACGCGUAUGCAAUCUACCUUGUACAGGGGGAUAGCCCAGAGAAAUUUGGAUUAAUACCCCAUGGUAUAAUUAAUUUGCAUGAAUUGAUUAUUAAAGUUCCAACGGUACAAGAUGAGCAUGCGUCCCAUUAGCUAGUUGGUGUGGUAACGGCAUACCAAGGCGACGAUGGGUAGGGGUCCUGAGAGGGAGAUCCCCCACACUGGUACUGAGACACGGACCAGACUCCUACGGGAGGCAGCAGUGAGGAAUAUUGGUCAAUGGUCGGAAGACUGAACCAGCCAUGCCGCGUGCAGGAAGAAGCAUCUAUGGUGUGUAAAACUGCUUUUUGACGGGAAGAAACACUCCUUCGUGAAGGAGCUUGACGGUACCGUAAGAAUAAGGAUCGGCUAACUCCGUGCCAGCAGCCGCGGUAAU